rnacentral:rRNA from 1 species
CCUACGGGAGGCAGCAGUGAGGAAUAUUGGUCAAUGGGCGGAAGCCUGAACCAGCCAAGUAGCGUGCAGGAUGACUGCCCUACGGGUUGUAAACUUCUUUUAUAAGGGAAUAACGUGAGUCACGUGUGCCGUUUUGCAUGUACUUUAUGAAUAAGGAUCGGCUAACUCCGUGCCAGCAGCCGCGGUAAUACGGAGGAUCCGAGCGUUAUCCGGAUUUAUUGGGUUUAAAGGGAGCGUAGACGGGUUGUUAAGUCAGUUGUGAAAGGUUGCGGCUCAACCGUAAAAUUGCAAUUGAUACUGGCAUGCUUGAGUACAGUUGAGGCAGGCGGAAUUCGUGGUGUAGCGGUGAAAUGCUUAGAUAUGACGAAGAACCCCGAUUGCGAAGGCAGCUUGCUAAACUGCAACUGACGUUGAUGCUCGAAAGUGUGGGUAUCAAACAGGAUUAGAUACCCUUGUAGUC